rnacentral:rRNA from 1 species
CCUACGGGGGGCUGCAGUGGGGAAUAUUGGACAAUGGGGGGAACCCUGAUCCAGCCAUGCCGCGUGUGUGAAGAAGGCCCUCGGGUUGUAAAGCACUUUCAGUGAGGAAGAACGCCUGGUGGUUAAUACCCAUCAGGAAAGACAUCACUCACAGAAGAAGCACCGGCUAACUCCGUGCCAGCAGCCGCGGUAAUACGGAGGGUGCGAGCGUUAAUCGGAAUUACUGGCGUAAAGCGCGCGGAGGUGGCUUGAUAAGCCGGUUGUGAAAGCCCCGGGCUCAACCUGGGAACGGCAUCCGGAACUGUCAAGCUAGAGUGCAGGAGAGGAAGGUAGAAUUCCCGGUGUAGCGGUGAAAUGCGUAGAGAUCGGGAGGAAUACCAGUGGCGAAGGCGGCCUUCUGGACUGACACUGACACUGAGGUGCGAAAGCGUGGGUAGCAAACAGGAUUAGAUACCCGAGUAGUC